rnacentral:rRNA from 1 species
AUUUGAAAUCCCCCGGGAAUUGUAAUUUGAAGAGAUUUGAGGUCCGGCCGGCAGGGGUUAAGUCCACUGGAAAGUGGCGCCACAGAGGGUGACAGCCCCGUGAACCCCUUUAACGCCCUCAUCCCAGAUCUCCAAGAGUCGAGUUGUUUGGGAAUGCAGCUCUAAGUGGGUGGUAAAUUCCAUCUAAAGCUAAAUACCGGCGAGAGACCGAUAGCGAACAAGUACAGUGAUGGAAAGAUGAAAAGCACUUUGAAAAGAGAGUGAAAAAGUACGUGAAAUUGUUGAAAGGGAAGGGCUUGCAAGCAGACACUUAACUGGGCCAGCAUCGGGGCGGCGGGGAGCAAAACCACCGGGGAAUGUACCUUUCGAGGAUUAUAACCCCGGUCCUUACUCCCUCACCAUCCCGAGGCCUGCAAUCUAAGGAUGCUGGCGUAAUGGUUGCAAGUCGCCCGUCUUGAAACACGG